UACGUAGGGGGCGAGCGUUGUCCGGAUUCAUUGGGCGUAAAGAGCUCGUAGGCGGCUUGGCAAGUCGGGUGUGAAAACUCCAGGCUCAACCUGGAGAUGCCACCCGAUACUGCUAUGGCUUGAGUUCGGUAGGGGACCACGGAAUUCCUGGUGUAGCGGUGAAAUGCGUAGAUAUCUGGAGGAACACCGGUGGCGAAGGCGGCAUCCUGGACCAAUUCUGACGCUGAGGAGCGAAAGCCAGGGGAGCAAACGGG
rnacentral:rRNA from 1 species